UCCUUCUCUCUCUCAAGCUUGAAGAAGCUUUUAGAGACGGUUCGUCAAUCCGUCGAGCAAGUGCGGAGAUAUCGCCGAAACAAGCGCUCAAGUGUUCGUAUUGACCCGAAGAGUCGAGGCGGCGACUGAGGAUCGCGACGUCGAGUUUUCUAGCUUUACGGCACUACAAAAGGUCCGAGUGCGAGUACUCCCGGCGAGGAUCGCGG